GCCAAAAUAAAAUCCCAUUCCUGGAAUAUUUAUUGGGUGCUUAGUAUAUUCCAGCGCUGGUUAUAAGCAGUGGAGAGACAAUGAUAAAUGAUAUGCUCGGGGUCAGGUUGUAGUCAAGUGGCAUCUACAGCUUGAGAGCCAGCCAUGGUGCAAUAUCCAGAAGCUGCCCGGAAGGGCAGAGUCAAGGGACCUCAGAAACAGAACAGAGUGGUGGAGUGUGCAUGGCCUCUGUCCGGGGUCCAGCGGCAGUGCAGAGGGGAGCAGCUCUGCCCAAGUAACAUCCUGACUUCAGCAGAGCCUUGACUGGUUGCGCAGAAGAAUCAGGUUGACGUGCUGGGCACUGCUGUGUGUGCAGCCCCAGCAGCAGCGUGGACAGGAGUGGCGGGGUGGUAGGAGCCAGAGUUCCCCAGCCUGUAGAGGACUCAGUGGUCUGGGUGAAAGGGCAGAGGAGGAAUCAGUUGGAGUUCAGUCAUUCAUGGAAUUCCUGGGAAAAUGAUGCAGUUGGUGAAGCCUGGAGAAAACAACUCACCCAUUAAAGACAGUAAACACAACCCAAUACCAUAUAUCACAUGGAAACCAUUUUGAAAAAUUCAAAAAACAAGUUUAAUUUGCCAAAAUAUAGACAGGCUUAAGUUUAACAUAUGAUUGUGUGAAAAUAGUUGACUUCAUGAAAAUAUUUGUAAUAUUUGGAAAUGGGGUCACAGAUAUCCACCCCAUACUUGUAUGAAAUUCUGUGACAGCUGUUUGAAUCAAUCCUCAGUGCCCUGAUGGGAAUAUCUCUUUACUUUAUCACUUAUUAUCUUCCUGCAUGAUUGUCCUUACACGAGUAACUAAGCCCGUCAAUAGUCCGCUCAUCGGAGUCACUUUUUGGAAUGUGACAUUAUUAAAGAUGUAUAUUCCAUCCCAGGUUUAGACCUUGGAGAGAAGCAGCCAUGACUGGGUCAAAUGAAGGUGUCAAACAGGAAUAGGUUCUGGAAGGGAAAUCUAUAUUGAGGUGCCAGCUGGCUCUCCACUGGGGCAGUGUUAUCAGGCUGACCCCCACCUCAUUCAGCAGCACUGGAAAUGUGCAGCUCUGCUGGCCGGC
rnacentral:lncRNA from 1 species